CCUCGGCCCUUAAAAUAGGCCUGGAGGCUUCUGAAAAACUAAAGACAGAGAAAACGCUCAGUGCCUUAUAGACGGAACACCCUAACGCCCAGAGCCCCGUGUUUGUUUCCCGCCUUCCUCCUCCCUGAGCACUAGCCAGAGAAGCCGGAAGUUGACAGUUUAGAGAGGCUUGAAGCUUCUGACCGCUUUCUGGCAUUUCAGCCCUCACAGGGCAAUUCAGCAUUCUUGGUGGCAACCCGGGGAAGGCAUGAAUCCAUGAAGCCACGCUUCUGGCAGAGAUUUAUAGUGAACCUUCUCCAACCAGCAAGAUACCUGUUUGCUCGAAACUGAUAGCCGCCCAGGGUCCACAUCCAGUUUCUGCAAACAAGCUUUGAAAUGCCACCGUGGGGGCAAAUCGUUCCACCAUAUAUGUCUUCCAUGCCGUUAUCUGCUUCCCGGCCCCCGCCCCUGCAAGAGCAUCUCCCUGGGGAGCCUGGUGGCCUUAAACUCUGGAUGUUUCUCUCGGCUUCUAGGAUUUCAGGUGCGGCAUUUCAGGGUCACCCCGACCCACUGAAUUAACCUCCCUUUGAAACGUUAACUUAAACGGAAGAAACUCCAUUCCCUCUCUUGUAUGUAGGACCUCGGGGAGUCUGGAAAAUAAGCUACGCUACUGCCGGCAUCGCCGAAAGAGAUUUGAGCCGUAUUUGUGAGCUCUCCACACCCCGGAAAUCAGGCCAGGUUCCAGGUCAAACGUAUCACACACACCGGCUUUCGUGGAGGCUUGACGAGCUUCGGUAUCACAAGAACUUGAAAAGGCAGCCCGCCAUUCUCGUUUCUGCCUCCCUUACCCAGCAGAUCACAAUUGAUGUCCCGACAGUGCUGGCCUACUCAGAGAGGAUGCUAAACCAUCUGGUCCUCAGACGUUCUCAACAGGAAUGCAGGGUGCAGAGAGGCGGCAGCAUCUCGGAGGCUGGCCAAAAGUGGGGACCGUGACCAAGUUUCCAUGUGGCUUGGCUUCUGGCACAGAGGAAACCAGCACCUAUAGCUCAGUGACACACAGCUCUUUUAAUAGACUUCUCCAGAACAGUGGUGACAUUUGACAAGAGAUCCCAGUGCCGUCUACUCACGCUCUGGGAGACUGUAACGUGGGAAGACCACUUCCUCGGGAUGUGGAGGCAGGAGCAUGAGAUUAUACAUAGCUGGACAUUUAUGCCCGAAAGCACUCCUUGGUUUCACAGUUGGCUGAGCAGUACAAGGGUGGACCCAGGGAGGAGAGCGAAAGCUCUGCCGUGUAAAGAGGCUCGCAGGGGACUCCAGUAGCUGGUCCACGUGCUUCUUCACUUUCAGAAUUUAAGUCGCAUGCAACGAAGGCGACAUUGUAGUGUAUGCGGGAUGGUGAAGGCAUUCACGGACCACAUUACUAAAUACACUAUAAUACUUUGUUUGAAUUAACUUAACUACUGUAGACCAGAGGCACCUUCAAAAUACUCCAUCCACAAAGCUGCAAGUUAAAAACGAUAGUAAAUGGGGCUGGAGAGAUGGCUCAGUGGUUAAGAGCAUUGCCUGCUCUUCCAAAGGUUCUGAGUUCAAUUCCCAGCAACCACAUGGUGGCUCACAACCAUCUGUAAUAAGAUAUGGUGCCCUCUUCUGGCCUGCAGACAUACACACAGACAGAAUAUUGUAUACAUAAUAAAUAAAUAAAUAUUAAAAAAAAUCGAUAGUAAUACCUGCACGAAGCCCAGAAUAUUCACAUCUACUCCUCUGUCAGCUGGACUAGGAUGAAAGCAAUAAGAGAUUAUCUCCUCUCUCGCUGCUGAAAAGAAUUAAGAUUUGAAAACUGAAUUGAUAUUACUACUGUCCUCAAGUUUUGCAUACGUGCAGGCAUACCUACACUGGGGUGCAGACCAGAAGGUAAUGGCCGGUAUCUUCUUCAACUGUUCUCCACAAUAUUUUUAUCUUUUCAAGAAUUUAUUUUCAAAAAGUAUCUUGCCAGGCAUGGUGGGUCACACUUUUAACCACUUAACAAGGCAGAAGAAGGCAAAUCUCUGUGAUUUUUUAGGCGAGCCUGGUCUACAGAGUGAGUCCCAGGACAGUUAGGGCUACACAGUAAGACCUCUCUUCCUCUCUCUCUGUCUCUCUGUCUCUCUCUCUCUUUCUCUCUCUCUCUCUCUCUCUCUCUGUGUUUACUGCUUGUGUGUUUGCAUGUAAGGAUCUUGUCACCGUGUAUAUAUGUGGAUAACCUGAAGGACCUGCUUUUCUCCUUGUACCAUGUGGGUUCUGGGGGAUUGAUCUCAGGUUCUAGGCCUGGCAGCUAGUCCCUCUCUCUACCCACUGAGCCACCCCACCUGGGUCUCUCACUGAGCUUGGAUCUCACUGAUUUGGUAAACUGGCUGGCCAACAGGCUCCGUGGACCCCAUCUCUGUCUCCUACCUGCCAGCACUGGGGUUACAGACAUGCAUUGCAGUCCCUAGCAUCGCAGGUGCUGUGUGUGUGCGUGUGUGUGUGUGUGUGUGUGUGUCUUUGUUUAAAUCCCAGUCUUCACACUUGUAAGUCAGGCACCUCACCCACUGAAUAAUCUCAACAUUCUGGCUCUCAUGCUUAAAACCAGACCUUUUCUGGUCUGUGUAAAAAUAGACACAAUACUUGUAGAGACAGAUAAGGAAUGUCUACUUACACAUUUGAUGAUGUCGGUUAAUAAUACAAGAAAUAUGCCUGUCCCUACCCCUGUCCCCAAGAAAUAUCCCAUCUCAUUUGACUCUUUCUAUCCAAUUCUAUAACAGUGUUUGAGUAAAUUCUCAAAUUAUCUAAGUGCCGUCUGGCAACUUGGAAUUCUAAACCUCUGGUUGCUUCUAGAUGCCCUCGGAAGUUAAUUUUAUUGUCUAAACUUAAGAUUUACUUCUGGGUAACUUGCUAACUAGAAUCCUGGGCUUCUACUCGCAAAAGCCAACUGCGUAACUGUAGAGUGACCUAUAAAUCUGCGUAAUGUCUAAAUCCUCCUCAUUCUUCUCACACUGAGACACUGAGCACCGAGGAUUAUAUCCAGUGGGCAGAGGCAAGGGGGAAAGUGUUGUCUCUGAUGGAAACAUAUACAGUUUCUGAAAGGUCACACAGACCCUGUGACCUAUGAAGUGGCCAUUGAAACGUAUGUGAAAAUCUAUAAGAUAUCAAGUUGCAGAACGUCGGCUUUUCCUGCUCCUGGGACUUGACUGUGCUGAGCCAUAUCCUAUGCCCAACAGGUACUCUGUUUACGAUGGUCCCAGACUUGCAAAGAAGCCUGUUUAACGCUUCUUCCACGGACAAAAUUUUAGACCAUGCAAAGCAGUAAGAAAUCUUUGUACCAAAUGUGCUUGUUCACCAAAUUUAUUUUGGAACGUUCAGAACACCAGAAUAUGACAAAUUAAAAACAAAGCACCCCAGAUUGCUACACGUUAAUACCUGAGCGGAGACGGAAGGCAAAUGCUCACCUAAUAAAACUACAUCGUAACGUGAGAACAGAGAUUAAAAACGUUUACAAGACUCUACAAUGCACAGAAGCAGCACUUUCUCCCAAACCACAACUGGUUCAACGUAACAGCGUUAAUUAUACCAUACCAGAAACACACAGAAGAGAACACACAUGCGUGUUCGGUGCACUACACGCAACGCGACACACUGGGGGAGGAGCAUGCAUGUUCGGACGGGAAAAUCUGCACGACGGUUAUCGUUUUCAGUACACACUUUCGGACAGGCUUCUUGCACUAAGCCUUGUUACUACACACUAGAGUUUACGGAUGAGCACAAAAAUCGGCGUGCAAAUAAACGCUAACUCCACUGAGUCUCCGUCCGCAGCCACGAGUCGUCUGCGCUCUAAAGGUUUAACUGUAAGGAUAAAAACUGAUGUCAGCUGAGAGACCCUUGAUUACACACACCCUUGUCUGAACAGCCUCGUCGUCAGUCUUACCAGGCUUUGAGGAAAGACACACUGUCAUUUCUACAAGUUUUUAAGAGACUCUUAUUUAAAAUAAAAACUUGAACAUAGUAAAGGGGUAGUGAAGGUGAAACAGGACAAGAGAAAUACACUGAUUUUAUGCCCAAAAGUCACGUGGAAAAGCAAACAGUACACGGGGAUCCGGACGCCUUUGGAAAAGAGCGUGAUUAUACGAUAAAUCGAGUAAUUUGGACUUUUAUGAAAAUCAUACUCCUUGUUUAAAAUAAACACAAUAUAAACUUUAGACUUUACAUUAAUUAAAAACAGAGGAGUUAAUUCUCCCGUGACACCAUAAAAUAAUUAGGCAGGAAAAAGAAAAUGAGAGGGAAAUGGUAACUUUUUUUUUUUUUAAAUGACAUUGAUCUGAGUUCAGCCACCGCAAAAUCAUUACUGGGUUGAUACCCCUUCCUUGAGAAAACAAACACAAGUCUCAAUGUGCCACAACACGGGGCACAAGUCUUAGAAGGAACUCACAUGUUUGAUAAGAUCAUUACCAAUAAGACAAAAAUACAUUUCAAUGAUUAAUUUUCAUAUAUUCACUAAGUUUAGAAACAGGAGGGCCGUGACUAUCCCUUAAAGCAUCUCCCCCAGAAACUGCAGUCAAAUCUAAUUUCCCAGCUAUAUUAAGACUAAAUCAAUUUUUUUUAAAAAAAAAUAGAACAAAAAAGCAGCUCUGGAAAUUAAAGGAGGCCUCAAGAAUAAUGGCUGUGCGGACCCUAAAGGAGGUGUGGGCCAAUUUAUACUGAAGGCUUAUAAUUUCAGCCGCUUGAAAGAAAAGGAUUUGAGAUGAAUCUGAGAAGGCUGCCCACAGUGAAAUAUCGAGAUACAAAAAUCGCAGGGCGUUGCUUCGUCAUUUUUUAAGGCACAGUCUGUUUUAUCCCAAAUAAGUUCAAGGUCACAGUGAUGAUAUAUAUAUUCAGUUUUGGUCUAGUUUAUCUUGGGCACGUUGUUACAUUUACAUUAGUCCUAGGUUGAAGAAACCACAGUAUGGCUUCACAACGAUACACCUCAGUUCCCAUUUUGAAAAAAUAUAUGUAACACAACUUCCUAGUUUAUACACAAUAAAAAAUGAAGAUCUCUCUCCCAACCACACAUCGGGGAGGGGGGAUUAGCAUGAGAAUUCUGACAAACACCUGUUUCCCCACACACAGAGCCAGCUUACGUAAAGGACAAGGCGUCUCCUACCUAGGCUAAGGCCAGGGCACAUAGGGGACACACCCCUCCCAGAGGGCACACGCACCCACCCUGUAGCCAACCCCCAUAAACCAUCUUUCUCUCCACAGUCCCCAACAGUCAGACAACCGUUACUCCACCAAGACCAAGUAAUGUCAGUAUCUGGCUUUCCACAGUGUUUGAUACAAGGUGUGCCCUGCUCAAAGGUUUGCUUCAAUGGACUACGUUAGGGUCUAGCGGACAAACACUUGGGACUGAACAGAAACAAAC